CAGUCGAACGGAACUGUUUUGAAAGAUUUCUUCGGAAUGAAUUUGAUUUAGUUUAGUGGCGGACGGGUGAGUAACGCGUGAGUAACCUGCCUUCAAGAGGGGGAUAACAUUCUGAAAAGAAUGCUAAUACCGCAUGACAUAUCGGAAUCACAUGGUUUUGAUAUCAAAGAUUUUAUCGCUUGAAGAUGGACUCGCGUCCGAUUAGUUAGUUGGUGAGGUAACGGCUCACCAAGACCGCGAUCGGUAGCCGGACUGAGAGGUUGAACGGCCACAUUGGGACUGAGACACGGCCCAGACUCCUACGGGAGGCAGCAGUGGGGGAUAUUGCGCAAUGGAGGCAACCCUGACGCAGCAACGCCGCGUGAAGGAUGAAGGUUUUCGGAUUGUAAACUUCUUUUAUUAAGGACGAAACUUGACGGUACUUAAUGAAUAAGCUCCGGCUAACUACGUGCCAGCAGCCGCGGUAAUACGUAGGGAGCAAGCGUUGUCCGGAUUUACUGGGUGUAAAGGGUGCGUAGGCGGCUUUGCAAGUCAGAUGUGAAAUCUAUGGGCUCAACCCAUAAACUGCAUUUGAAACUGUAGAGCUUGAGUGAAGUAGAGGCAGGCGGAAUUCCCCGUGUAGCGGUGAAAUGCGUAGAGAUGGGGAGGAACACCAGUGGCGAAGGCGGCCUGCUGGGCUUUAACUGACGCUGA
rnacentral:rRNA from 1 species